rnacentral:hammerhead_ribozyme from 1 species
AUCCAGCUGACAAGUCCCGAAUAGGAUGAAACGCUCGUCCUGGCU